GCGGAAAUGGCGAAACUGGCAGACGCACCAGACUUAGGAUCUGGCGCCGCAAGGCAUGGAGGUUCAAGUCCUCUUUUCCGCA
rfam:Helicobacter canadensis MIT 98-5491 chromosome, whole genome shotgun sequence.